CCGCGCGGCCCACGCCCUGGCCCGCCUGCCCCGAAAGGGAGUGCGCGCCCACGCCGGCUCGCGCAUGCCCGAGCUGGGGGGCUCCGCCCUCUCGAACCGCCCGCCCCGCCAAACCGGUUCCAGCUGGAACGCAACGCACGGUCUGUACAGCAGGCGGAGCGGCCCGGGGUCCGUGCGGGCCACCCUGGCAGAGACGCCUUGCUGUGGGUAGGGAAACUGAGGCCGAGGAGGGAGCCCACUGUGGGCUUUUCGUCCUGCACGCAGGUUCUAGCUACUCAGCAGCCUAGCAGUUUCUAGUUGCCCCUCCUCCCAUCCCCGGAUGUGCUUCCAAGGAUCCUAAGGAUGAGUUCAGUAUCACACCUGUGUGACCUUAGGAGCGAUGAUCAACUUUUCCGUGCCUGUCAUUCUCUGUAAAAUGUGACAAAAGCACACGAUGCUGUACGAACCCAUUCCUGCUUCUUCCCUGAGUGAGUCCCCUCCCUUCCCGCAGACCUGGCACUCUGCUUACAGAUCUUGCCAGGCACAGACAGAUCUUGCCGGGUGGCUGAGACAAGCCGGUUGCCUGCUUUCUUCGUCUGGAUCUUAUGGAAGGCUGUGAGGAAUGAAAAGGUAACACUGUUUCCAGUAGACGUCCUCCCUUUGCAUUAAGACAUAAGGAUGAAGAGAGCAACAAGCUCAUUUGAUGCCAGGCACUGUGCUAAGCACUUUAAAAGCAGUAGCUGGCUAUACCGUGCUAUUCAGUUUCAUUUGCUUGACUUAGGAAAAAGCAAAGUCAAUUCUUGAUGGACUCUGACGCCCCAAGCCAACCCACCAUGAGAUCUCUUUAUCUCACCUCUAUUCUUCCAAUUCAGUACACACUCCUUGUAUAACCUUGGGCAAGUCCCCUUUUCUCUUUGGGACUUGUGGGUCCCGUAUGUCCCCUGGAGAGAAAUGAGGCAGAAACAAUGGAGUCUUUGACCCUCUGAAUCCAGCUCACUGGAUUGAAAAGAAGAACUCAUGGGCAGCUUCAAUUUGGAUGUCACUAAAUCUGAGACCUUGGUGCUGGAGGAAGUCCAGCACACUUCUGAUGGUGAUCUUUUCGGGUCCUGUACAGUGUGUAUAGGGAACCGUCUGUGUAGUGACUGGGUCCUUGCCCAGGGGCUCCAAGUCAGGCUAGCCUCCCUGCAAAGUGGAGUUGGCUGGACCCAGGCCUGAGGUGUAGGGCUGACAGGCAGGCCUUAGAUCCUCCUAUGGGAGCCUGGGCUUCUGGUAAAGGGUUCUUUCCAGAUAGCUGUUGUCCUGGCAGAACUGGCAGCUAGAGAAGUGAAAAUUUAAAAAAAAUUUUUUUUAGAGACAGGGUCUCUCUAUGUAGCCUUGGCCGUUGCUCACCAGACUGGCCUCUAACUCACAGAGAUCCUCCUGCCUCUGCCUCCCAAGUGCUGGGACUAAAGGCGUACGCCAUCACACCCAGCUUCAGUUUUGAAACUAUAUCAAUACUUAAAAUCCACAGCAUGAACCUGACUGAGCCCCUCCCCCUCCCCCAUGGGUGUUAAGCUAACAAUGCUGGAGCAGGGAAUGGGGAAGAGGAACGACUAGGAACUGCUAAGCCACCCAGUGGUUAGGAACUGUGUGCUGGGCUAAAAGCCCACAAUGGGCUCCUUGUGUUAUGCAUGAAAGGUAGCUGAGCAAGCCAGCGAGAGUUAAUCCAGUAAACAGUCUUCCUGCGUGGCCUCUGCUUGAGUCCCUGCCCUGACUUCCCUCAAUGACGGACUGUGACCUGGAAGGGUAAGAUGAAAUAAACCUGCUCUUCCCUAAAUUAAUUUUGGCAUGGUGCUGAUCCCAGUGAUAGAAAGUAGACUCAUGCACUGCUCUGCCUCUAGGGUGACGGGAUGCCCCUCUCUUGUUUGGCCUAAAAGUUUCAAUUCUGAGUUGGAGGCCUGCUCAUCAGUCCUCAGGUCUGGAUCGUAUUUCUCUGGAUUGCGGGCGGUGGUGGGGCACGCCUUUAAUCCCAGCACUCGGGAGGCAGAGCCAGGCUAGUAUACAGAGCGAGAUCCAGGACAGGCACCAAAGCUACACAGAGAAACCCUGUCUCGGGGGAAAAAAACCAAAAACCAAAAACUUGAUGAGUGAUAAUUUGUGCACUCAGCUGCUCAUAGUAGGCACUCAGUUACCUAGGAAUAUCAGGGACAAAGGCAUGGUAGAACCCAAGGAGAGAGCCUGCCUUCUACCCAGUCAGGAGAGACGCCUAUUUCAGCAGUAGGAAAUACUGAUAAUCUUCUGGGGAAGGCCUCCUGAAUCCUAUCACCUCUGACCCUAUGGCCCUGAUGGGGCCACCGUCCCCUGCCUGACCAGUGUGGCAGCCUCUAAUCCUGCUCUGCCUGCCAGAUGAUUCUCCUGCUCUUGGUCAAGUCCUUGGGUUGCUUCCUUCCUAAUCCCACAUGACAAUGAAGAACUCAAGGCUUUGAGAAACUUUUCUCCUUGACCUAUUUGCUGAGUGACCUUGACUAUGACACUUCCUCUAGGCUGCAGCGGCUUUGUGAACCACCCACCCCACGCCUAAUCUGAGGUGUGUGUGUGUGUGUGUGUGUGUGUGUGUGUGUGUGUGUGUGUAACUGGGUUAGGUCAGGAAUGGCAGGUUUGUGUAACUCUGGCCAUUGCAGACAUCAUUAAUUCAUGGUGGCACAUUUAAUCUUCUUAACUCAGAUUAAAUCUCAAUCCUUAGCUCCAGGGACCAGAAAUGACACACAAAUCACAGAAUGUUUGCCCGACAGUCUGGGGAUUGGAUGGGCUGAGCUGACAGGGAUCUGCAGUGGAAUAACCAAAGAUUAGGGUAGACUAGGCUUGGGAGACAAGACUGAGAGAUUUUGUUUGUUUGUUUGUUUUUCGAGAUGGGGUUUCUCUAUGUAACAGUUCUGGCUGUCCUGGAACUUGCUUUGUAGACCAGGCUGGCCUCGAACUCACUGAGAUCCAUCUGCCUUGCCUCCGGAGUGCUGGGAUUAAAAGCAUACACCGCCACCACCCAGCUAAAACUGAGGGCUUUUGUUCGCCUCCCUUCCUGUGUAUAUGUGCAGGGGAAGGAAAAGGAAUCAUGGAAACCAGAUUCUAAGUGAUGGGAGAAGGGACAAAAAGAGAGGAAAAAAAGUGGCUUCUCUUUCUUGGAUGGUUACAGACAAGACCGUUCCUCACACCCAAGGUCUAGAUCACCAUCAGGAGGCCCGGGAGGGACAGGUGCCUUUUCAGAGUGACACAGUAGCACUGAAACAGGAACUCUGGGCCUCCGGGCAGGACGCAGGAAUAUUUUCUGGACUGGAGCUUAGCCAGCUCAGCCUAGAGCUUCCAGUGUGGGCAGAGAAUGACCCUAAGCCUGCCUAGGUCUGCGUGUGUGUGUGUGUGUGUGUGUGUGUGUGUGUGUGUGUGUGUGUGUGUGUGUACACCCUCUCUCUCCUGCACUGUGUUCACAUUUAAAGACAGAAUGUAACUGGCAGGAUCAGGGUGCCACACAGUAGUCCCCCACCCCCAUGCCACUUGCUGAGGUCCCUGUGUGGUGUCUCGGCUUCUGAAUCUGUGCGACGUGAUUCAGAGGGAGUGGGAAGACGUGGAAGGGAGGGGGGGGCAAGCCCAGAACUGAGAGCUCAGAGGAGGGAAAGGAAGAGAGACAGAGGGUGGAGGGAGAAACAGAAGGCAAAGACUGGGGUGGGGGGCUGAGGGAAGAGAUGGGAGGGAGCCUUGUCACUGCUCUGGCUUCCUCUCAGAGGCAUGGCGAGAGGAGAGGCAACAGGAUCCGAGGCAGACGACAGGGUCACAUCAUGGCCCUCAGGUCCCUUCCCAGGUGUCCUCUGGCUGGGGAGGGGCAUGUACAAGUGGCAGUUGAGCCACGGAUGACCCGCCUGCCAGUCACCUGCCAGAGCUAUUUCUGGAAUGUGGAAACUGGGUCAGGAAGGGGGAGGGAGGAUGGCGGUGCUGGCGGUGGAGCUGGGAAGCUGCCAGCAGUGAGUAGUGGGUGGGCAGCCGCAUGCCCUGGCUCCGCCACUCUGGAGCAGCGGCUUCUGCUAGGCGCCCACUGCCUCAGUAGACACCCUGUACCCGCAUCUUCCCACCUGCCUGCAUCUGGUCUGUGAGCAUAGGAGGGGAGAGGGAGAGGGACAAAGAGCUAUAUGCCUCUCAGCAACACAGGCUCAGAACAAAGGGGGGUGGGCAGGGUGGGAAGGAGGGGAACCUUCUGAGUGGGAGACAGUGGCUAUGUGUUGGUGUGUGUCUGUGUAGAGGGGGUGAUGACAGGCAGGGUUGCCAUGUAUGGUUGUACAAGUUUUACACUGAUUAAGGAUACUCCAUUUUAGCUAGGUGUGGUGGCUCAUGCCUUUAAUCCCAGCACUCAGGAGGCAGAGGUAGGUGGAUCUUUGAGUUCGAGGCCAGCCUGGUCUACAAAGAGAGUUUCAGGACAGCCAGGGAUACACAGAGAAACCCUGUCUAAAAUAACCAAAAUAAAAAAAAAUUUAAAAAGAUGCCCCAUUUGGGCAUUUGGGUCUAAUCACAAACAAUACAGAUGUAGUUUCUGGCAGGUGGAAGUAAAAGAACUUAUUCUAAUUCCAAUAGAAACUGCAUCGUGGUGACUUUUCAGUAGAUGGUGGUGAAGGAAAAAUACCACAUGGACCAGCUGCAGCUCUCACCAGAGACCUGAAAAUCUGGUGGCUUUGGUUUUCCUAGGUGGCAUGUGAGUUUACCUGCUGAGCAAGAGAGGAGCAGAGGACAAGCAGGAGCAGAAGCUCUGUGGCAUCAGCUUUGGAUCAGCAGCAACUUGCUUUGAUCAACUGGUUAUUUGCAGAUGUGAAACCAAGAGACUUGAAAUGUGUUACAAAAUGAGGUUGUCUUCCUAUCCUCUGCCACCUCCACGGGAAGGACAUGGCCUGGUUGGGACACUGACUCCUGAACAGCCUCUGGGCCCAGGGAAUAGGACACAUGGAGCCACGCCAGCUGACCUGCAAACUCAUGAAUAAGGACUUAUCGCUGUUCCUCACUGUUCGCUCCACAGCAGUACUGAGAUGGUGCGCAAGGUAGAGGGUGACUGCAGUAAGAACCAAGAGUAUCACACUGCUCCAGGACCAAGCAGUGAGGAAGUAAUGAGAGACUCCCAGAGCAGGCUUGAAAAAGAUGCCUGGGGUCUGUGUGGGUCAGAACCCUCCGUGAAAGUCACGUAUAGUGACGUAAGUGAGCACAUACACGGGCAAGAGCUGGCUCCUUUGGAUAAGGACUUUAAAGAGAGAAGAACUCACAAAAGGAACAGUCAAUCUGUCUGUCAGGGACACUUAGAGAAAAUAGGAAGAGCCUAGAACUUGCUGAGUUGGAAAAUAAAUCUGUCAACUUCA